rnacentral:rRNA from 1 species
AGAACGAACGCUGGCGGCAUGCCUAAUACAUGCAAGUCGAACGAACUCUUCGGAGUUAGUGGCGCACGGGUGCGUAACGCGUGGGAACCUGCCCCUUGGUUCGGAAUAACAGUUGGAAACGACUGCUGAUACCGGAUGAUGACGAAAGUCCAAAGAUUUAUCGCCAAGGGAUGAGCCCGCGUAGGAUUAGCUAGUUGGUGAGGUAAAGGCUCACCAAGGCAACGAUCCUUAGCUGGUCUGAGAGGAUGAUCAGCCACACUGGGACUGAGACACGGCCCAGACUCCGUACGGGAGCAGCAGUA